rnacentral:rRNA from 1 species
UACGUAGGGUGCGAGCGUUAAUCGGAAUUACUGGGCGUAAAGCGUGCGCAGGCGGUUUUGUAAGCCAGAUGUGAAAUCCCCGGGCUUAACCUGGGAAUGGCAUUUGGGACUGCAAGGCUUGAGUGCGGCAGAGGAGACUGGAAUUCCUGGUGUAGCAGUGAAAUGCGCAGAUAUCGGGAGGAACACCUAUGGCGAAGGCAGCUCGCUGGGACGUUACUGACGCUGAGACGCGAAAGCGUGGGGAGCAAACAGG